GACAGAGGGUGCAAACGUUGUUCGGAAUUACUGGGCGUAAAGCGCGUGUAGGCUGCUUCGCAAGUCGGGUGUGAAAGCCCUGGGCUCAACCUAGGAAGUGCACUCGAAACUGCGGAGCUGGAGUCCUGGAGAGGACGGCGGAAUUCUCGGUGUAGAGGUGAAAUUCGUAGAUAUCGAGAGGAACACCGGUGGCGAAGGCGGCCUUCUGGACAGUGACUGACGCUGAGACGCGAAAGCGUGGGGAGCAAACAGG
rnacentral:rRNA from 1 species